AGAGUUUGAUCCUGGCUCAGAACGAACGCUGGCGGCAUGCCUAACACAUGCAAGUCGAACGUGAUCCAGGCCUUCGGGUUUGGUGAAAGUGGCAGACGGGUGAGUAACGCGUGGGAACCUGCCCAAUGGUAGGGAAUAACCGCGGGAAACUGCGGCUAAUACCCUAUGACCCCUGCGGGGGAAAGAUUUAUCGCCAUUGGAGGGGCCCGCGUCGGAUUAGGUAGUUGGUAGGGUAACGGCCUACCAAGCCUUCGAUCCGUAGCUGGUCUGAGAGGAUGAUCAGCCACACUGGGACUGAGAUACGGCCCAGACUCCUACGGGAGGCAGCAGUGGGGAAUAUUGGACAAUGGGGGCAACCCUGAUCCAGCAAUGCCGCGUGAGUGAUGAAGGCCUUCGGGUUGUAAAGCUCUUUCGGCGGGGAAGAUGAUGACGGUACCCGCAGAAGAAGCCCCGGCUAACUUCGUGCCAGCAGCCGCGGUAAUACGAAGGGGGCUAGCGUUGUUCGGAAUUACUGGGCGUAAAGGGCGCGUAGGCUGUGCUGUAAGUCAGGCGUGAAAUCCCCGGGCUCAACCUGGGAAUUGCGCAUGAUACUGCGGCGCUUGAAGACGGGAGAGGAUGGCGGAAUUCCCAGUGUAGAGGUGAAAUUCGUAGAUAUUGGGAAGAACACCGGGCGAAGGCGGCCAUCUGGCCCGUAAUUGACGCUGAGGCGCGAAAGCGUGGGGAGCAAACAGGAUUAGAUACCCUAGUAGUCC
rnacentral:rRNA from 1 species